UUGAACUCAUUACAAGCAAUUUCGCAGAGAAAAAUCGUUUAACUUUUCUCUUCCUUCGGAUAAACUACAAAUCUACCUAUAAAUUCAACCUUGUUUUUACUCUUUUUAUACAACUCUGCAUGCAAAAGCUCAUUUUCCAUAAUGGACUUCCAGUAAUGAACAGCUGACAUUCAACCACCAAUAAAACUGAGCAAACAUAAACAAAAAACAUCUAUGUGAAAAUAAUAAAAUAAACAAUCAAAAAAAUUAAAUUCAACAAAACAAAAAGAACUCCUACCACUGUGCCAUCGUUACCAGGACCGGACCCUACAAAACCACAAAGAAAGAAACAAUGCUGCCUAAAAAAAAGAGAAAAAAAAGGUAACAAACAUAAAAAAAAACUACAAACAACAAACUUAAAGAACUAAACAAAAAUUCAUACAGAAAACAAAUUAACGUUUUAAAAACAACGAGGCCCACAUACAAAACGAAAAUACACCCGCAACAAAACUCAGAUGCCGCUGAUGAGAGUCAGAGGGAGCGGUGUGCGGCUAAGUUUCAGCGUGACCAACGUGGGGAACUCCCACACCCUGAGAUUCUAUCAGCCGGACAUUAACACUUAACUAUUUCCAAUGGUGGCAAUUUGGGUAUCACAAUCCCUACUGAUGUCCCAAUGAAUCAACUAAUAUCAGUCUAAAAUUUGAUUUGGCAUCAUGUGGAAUCAUAUUAACAAAAAUAAGGGACUGCACAACAUCAUAAGAACAACCAAAACUUUAUUUGCCGCAUAAUUCUGUUUGGGCGCCAUAUUCUGUUACGAACCUUCUGUUGGCCACUGGAUUCCACCACCCUACUAGCUCACGCGGCAUCACCUCGGGGCGUGAUUCUCAACCCUUUUGAUGACCAAGGUCCGCUACAAAAUAACUUACAAUUGAACAGCAAAUCAAAUACGUAUUCAACAUACACAGAGCGAAACACACACAUAGGAGAAAGGUGAUAUUCUCCAAUCGCCCAAUCCCAACCAUGGCCGUAUUACAUCCCUUACCAUUAUCUUACGGACCCCAUAAUCCGUCCAUCACGUCCUAUCAUUCAAUAAUCCCAAUAACGUAUUUACUCAAUUUUAUUCAUU